rnacentral:rRNA from 1 species
UACGUAGGGUGCAAGCGUUGUCCGGAAUUAUUGGGCGUAAAGAGCUCUUAGGCGGUCUGUCGCGUCUGCUGUGAAAACUCGGGGCUUAACCCCGGGCCUGCAGUGGGUACGGGCAGACUAGAGUGCGGUAGGGGAGACUGGAAUUCCUGGUGUAGCGGUGAAAUGCGCAGAUAUCAGGAGGAACACCGGUGGCGAAGGCGGCAUCCUGGACCGGCACUGACGCUGAUGAGCGAAAGCCAGGGGAGCAAACGGG